rnacentral:rRNA from 1 species
GACGAACGCUGGCGGCGUGCUUAACACAUGCAAGUCGAACGAAGUGGCGAACGGGUGAGUAACGCGUAAUCAACCUGCCCUUCAGAGGGGGACAACAGUUGAAAACGACUGCUAAUACCGCAUACUGAAGGAGGGGAUUGCGUUGGAUUAGCUAGUUGGAGGGGUACCGGCCCACCAAGGCGAUGAUCAGUAGCCGGUCCUGGAGGAUGGACGGCCACAUUGGGAAUGGGACACGGCCCAGACUCCCUCCGGGGGCAGCAGUGGGGAAUCUUCCGAAAUGGAGGAAAGUCUGACGGAGCAACGCCGGGGGAGUGAUGAAGGCCUUCGGGUUGUAAAGCUCCGUUAAUCGGGACGCGGUACCGGAAUAGAAAGCCACGGCUAACUACGUGCCAGCCGCCGCGGUAAUUC